UACGAACUGCGCAAACGUUAUUCGGAAUCACUGGGCUUACAGGGUGCGUAGGCGGCCGAUCAGGUCCGGUGUGAAAUCCCACAGCUCAACUGUGGAAUGGCAUUGGAAACCGAUCGGCUUGAGUGGGCUGAGAGGUGCACGGAACUUCCGGUGGAGCGGUGAAAUGUGUUGAGAGUCGGAAAGGAACACCAGAGGCGAAAGCGGUGCACUGGAGCUUGGUCGUGACGCUGAGGCACGAAAGCCAGGGGAGCAAACGGGG
rnacentral:rRNA from 1 species